rnacentral:rRNA from 1 species
CAGUCGCCACGGUAAUACGAAGGGGGCUAGCGUUGUUCGGAAUUACUGGGCGUAAAGCGCACGCAGGCGGAUACUUAAGUUAGGGGUGAAAUCCCAGGGCUCAACCCUGGAACUGCCUUUAAUACUGGGUAUCUUGAGUUCGAGAGAGGUAAGUGGAAUUCCGAGUGUAGAGGUGAAAUUCGUAGAUAUUCGGAGGAACACCAGUGGCGAAGGCGGCUUACUGGCUCGAUACUGACGCUGAGGUGCGAAAGCGUGGGGAGCAAACAGGAUUAGAUACCCCUGUAGUCCCUGUCUCUUAUAC